AUUGCUUUGAACAACAUGGCGCCCUCCCCUGUCACUGUCCAGACUUUGGAUUGUGGUAAACGGGUUACAUAAAUCCAUUCCAUGAUCCGCUCCAGCACUUCUAUCAAGCAGCGCCCACGUGAUCACAACAGCAGGUUGCUAAGGUGCAAGAAAAAGAAGAAACAGCCUCAUCAAGAGGUGGAGCGAGAUGAAGAAACAAGAAGCUACACGAAGUCAGCGGACCCGCAUUCAAAAUAGUAAAUGAACGUCAGCGAGUCUGCGUGUGAGUGAUUGGGUGAGAGCUGUGGCCGACAGCAGCUUCUGCGUAGGCGUGACCACUGUUACCAUUCUAUCGGCAUUUAAUAAACUGCUGAAAAGUGCAUCGGCGACUGUGCCUCUCCUUUCCCACAUGCGAGGGCAUUACAGUAAGUAAGUAUACUGUAAAAAAAGACAAAAAUUCUUAGACAAAACAAUAACAAUAUAUUGGGGUGUCAACGAUGGGAACACUACGUCUU